GACGAACGCUGGCGGCGUGCUUAACACAUGCAAGUCGAACGGAAAGGCCCUGCUUGCAGGGUGCUCGAGUGGCGAACGGGUGAGUAACACGUGGGUGAUCUGCCCCUUACUUUGGGAUAAGCCUGGGAAACUGGGUCUAAUACUGGAUAGGACCAUGCUUUAGGUGGUGUGGUGGAAAGAUUAGUUUCGGUAAGGGAUGAGCUCGCGGCCUAUCAGCUUGUUGGUGGGGUAAUGGCCUACCAAGGCGUCGACGGGUAGCCGGCCUGAGUGGGUGGACGGCCACGUUGGGACUGAGAUACGGGGCAGACUCCUGCGGUAGGCAGCAGUGGGGAAUAGUGCACAAGGGGCGCAAGCCUGAUGCAGCGACGCCGCGUGGGGGAUGACGGCCUUCGGGUUGUAAACUCCUUUCAGCCAUGACGAAGCCCUUGUGGUGACGGUAGUGGUAGAAGAAGCACCGGCUAACUACGUG
rnacentral:rRNA from 1 species